UAAUCUUCACUGCCAACGGGAGGGGAGGGAGUGGACAGCAGUGAGACAUCCGGCUUCCCAUUGGCCUCCUCUAACACUGGUAGGUGAGGGGAGCUCAUCAUUACUGGGUGGGGUUGGAAGUCAGGAUCCCAAGUGGCCUCUACUGACUCAGUCAGACUCCUGAUUCCUGCUCGUCAAGGGUAGAAAUCUAGGUACCCCACCUGGCCUUUGCUGACAUGAGUGGAGGCAUUUGGGGAGUCCCUGCUGUGUGCCAGGAAUCAUAUUAGAUACCAGAGAUGAGUACAAGAUACAGUUCCUGCACUUGAGGAGCUUGACAUGGGCAAGGAAAUUAAUGCAUCCAAAGUGAUACUUAUUUUAUUGCUCACAUUGGCUUGAAAUCAUGAGGCCACCUCUGUCUUUUCAUCAAUCAAACUGUGAAGUCAUCUUGGACCACUCUGUGUGUGGUAUGCAGAAAUUUCACAUACAUCGAAUUCAGAAUUAGAGCUUGAGAAAAGUAGCUUCCGACCAGAGGUUCUUGGCCUCCAUGAAAAUAAACAAGUUAACAGGAGGAGAGCAUGUUCCAUAUGGCAACUAGGGCUGGAUGAAGGUACCAGACGCCCAGAAGAUGGUGUGCUGUCAUGAAGAAAACUUGGGAAUUAUACAUAUCUAAGUCUGAAUCCUGCCCCCACGCACUUGCAACUUAACCUGUCUGGUCAUUUCCUUAUCUAAGAAAUGAUGCUAAUGAUACCUGCUAGGUAAGCCAGCUAUAAAAUGUAACAUAUAAAAUACAUACUGUGAUGCAAAAUAUAAUAUUCAUUAACUAAAAUGUAUAUAAAACUCCAGAGACAUACUAGGCAUUCAAUAUGGGUUUAAUAGGUAUACUAUUUGGGGGCUGUUAAAUCAAAGUAGUUUUACUUUUGGUCCCCCCCUUUUUUUUCUUUUGACAGAGUUUUGCUCUUGUUGCCCAGGCUGGAGUGCAGUGGCACAAUCUCACUGCAACCUCUGCCUCCUGGGUACAAGAGAUUCUCCUGUCUCAGCCUCCUGAGUAGCUGGCAUUACAAGUGCGCACCACCAUACUCGGCUAAUUUUCGUAUUUUCAGUAGAGAUGGGGUUUUACUAUGUUGGCCAGGCUGGUCUCGAACUCCUGACCUCAGGUGAUCUGCCUGCCUUGGCCUCCCAAAGUGCUGAGAUUAGAGGCAUGAGCCACUCACCGUGCCUGGCCGAUCCCUGCUCCUUGGCCUCCCAAAGUGCUGAGAUUACAGGCAUGAGCCACUCACCGUGCCUGGCCAAUCCCUGCUCUUAAUUGUUCUACAGCUUUCAGAUUGAUUGGAACUGGAGGAUUCAGCCGUAACUCCUUCUGUAGACGCUUUGCCUUGGGCACCUGGGCCUGGAGAUGCACUGGCCUAGGUAAGGGAAAGAAAAUUACCUAAGAGGGUUUCAGGUCAGACAAAAUGGAUGCCUUUUGGAGGCAGCAAAGUGGAAGAAGUGAAGAGGGUCGGAGACAGGUGAGCACACAGUCAGAGAUAUAUGACUCCUCCUCUCAGACCAGAACAAAGGUUCCCGGGUGUUAGAAGGACUGAGAGGGUAGCCAGGAGCAGAGGGGUUUCCCGUUUGGGAUCCUAAGAAUGGUGGCUGUAGCAGAGUGGAAAGUGUGCUGUUUGGGACCCCGGGCAGGGUGCCUGCAGUGAAUGGACAGUGUGGUGCAGCAGAUGUGGCAGGGAGCCUGGGUCAGCAUUCGCAAGCCUUACACACAGCCUGUAGAAGCAACAGAAGUUAUUGCGGAUGUGGCUGGUGAGGUCUGCUAUUCCAGGGGCAAAGAGAUCCUAUACCUAUGGGGGCAGGUCAGAGUACCCAGGUCAGGGUAGCAGCAAGGACCAGGUUGAGGCCAAAGCUGUGUGGAGGGCUAUGGGGCUGAGAUGGAGCCCAGAGAUCAACUGCAAACUCACCAGCUACAGAUUCGGCCCCAGAGGUCAGCAUGGUGUAGGGAUCAUCCAUGUGUGGUCCUUUUCAGGAUGCCAAAGGCCUAUAGGAACCAAAUAAGUAGAGUCAGAGUCCAUUCCUCCUCACUGCCCUGACUCCCCAGUUUCCCCAAACCCAGAGGUCAUCUUGAAAAGGACGGGGUGGGAAGAUCUGGAAGAUCAAGCAGUGAUGCACAAGCAGCCUGGCCACCCCCAAAACAAGACUCCAACCCACAGAGAGAGAGAAUUACUAACUGGCAAGUGUAAAGUGUGACCGCCUUGCAUGCUAUGCACAGCAUGAACAGAAAAUUCCUAACGUUAGUAGAAAAUAAGGAAGCAAUCUCUUGUUAACCUAAGCAAGCUGCCAGUGUGUGCACCCCAGCACAUGUGGCAACAAUGAUGAGGAAGGAGGGGCCUGGAGUGGGAUGAUCCGGCCCUUACCUGCCCGUGGGAUCUCUUAGAAAGGCUUGCGAGUGAUCUCAGGCUGAAGGCCUAAGGGCCGUGGCAGAAGCCUGACAGGAGAGGGAGGGAGCUCAGAGCCAAGAGAAGCUGGUUAGCUCAGGGAGCAGGGAUGGCUCCCCAAGGCGGUUGGCACAGUUACUGGGGCCGGGGAACAUGCUCACCUUUUAUAGGGAGUGAUGCUCUCCUGGGCCAUGAAACUGAGCUUUAGAAGCCAGGCACCUUUCUUAGGCUUUUCUGGUUGUAAGUUACAGAAAGCCACAGGAGCUGACUUGAGCAAAUGCAAUGGGACGGCACUGAAGAGGCUCAUAGAUGCCAAGAACACAGACUGCAGGAUCUAGGGAAGGCACAGGGCUGCACUGGGGACACAGUGAGGAGCCCAGGAAGGGUGUCCUUUCUAUUUUCCUCUGAGCCUCUACUUCAUUCUUCCCUUUGGUUUUGGACUGUCCUUGCCCCGUUUUUUGUUGGGAAAAGCCACCAACAGCUCCUGAGCUUACAUGUUUCAGGGCCAAGUUCCUCUGUGUCUCAGCUGAAAUUUGCCAUGAGGGACUGGUUUACCUCCUCCACACCCAUCAAUUCCACCAGGAGCAAGGAAGGAUAAGGGAAGAAAACAACAUUGUGGAGGAGAGAGAAGCAGGGAGGUACGAAUAAGGGUCUAGGCUCUACCCUGGGCAGCCAGGAAGGAUCAGUCACUCUCCCCAGCCAAUUAAGUGAAGUUCAGAAAGAAGGGAGCGUGAUUUGGGGAAGGAGUAGGGGUGAACAGAAGAGGUACCCACCUCCCCUUGGCCUCCGGAAAACAGAGCCAGCGCUUUCCUGGCCGUGAGUCGGAAAGUGGAGCUGUACGGGGUGGCUGCAGGACCAUAGGGUACAUUUUCUUUUCACUCUUUCAUUAUGUCACUUUAGAGAGAUUAAGGGAAACUGCCGGGAAGGAAAAAGGAAAGCUAAUGGCGGGGAUAUUGCUCAAAGGCAGGAAAUUAGUUAAACAUUACACUGGGAUUUCACAACAGGUUGUUGCACUGAUUUUCUCACAGCUCCUUAAUGAGUCUUGGGAAAAAAGGAUAUCAUUUUAAUGUGGUCUUGAUUGCUUUAUUCUCAGGUCAGCCUGAGAAUUUUCUUAUGAUGUUAAUUAUUCAUUUUUGUAAGAAGCCUCCAUAAAUAAAAGUAUAAGUACCAGGUGUCCAGUGUGGCAUUUCAGGAGCUUGGAGGAAGAUGCUGGAGAAAGUAAGAGCUGGGAAAAAAAUAAAAUAAAAUAAAUAAAUAACUAAAGUAAGAGCUGGGGAGGGGAAAUUGAGAGGUGGCCAGAAAGAGAGGCUUUGAUCAUUUCCAGAGCCGUGGGGUUGCAGAGAACUCACUUUAGGCAGUGUAUGUAAUCUAAUGUUCUUCAAGGUCCUAUAGCCUAAGACCACUGGGGACACAUUUGUAGUCAACACAGUGAGGCUGAUAGCAAGGGAAACUGCACACUGUGGGGAAAUUUGAGGCAUCUCAAAAGGGAGGAUUAAAGGAAAGGCACCCAAUAAACUUAGGGUGCUGGAGUUAGUCACAGGAUGGUGUUGGCAGGAUUUCAUCAGAUUCUGUAAACUGGGGAGUUUCUAGAAAAGUACGCGGUCUUAUCUUUGGGACGCACAAGUCUGUGGGGAGUUACUGACAGGUAAAUUUCUCUGUGGUCUUGUCUGAGAGCAAAAUGGGCCUACAAGAGCUGGUGUUUCAAAGUUUGAACUUAGUCUGUCUGUGAUGCCCACCACUGUGUGGUCGGGAGAAAUUGGCCUGCUUUGUAAGUGAGGCUUAUGUUUUGAAAAUUGUGGUUUCUGUUUUAAUUCAGCCCCUGUCAUCUCCCCACCAACAUGAACCCCAGUCUGCCAGCCUGCCUUUUUCAUUUACUCACUAUUUUUCUGCCCGUCAUUAUAGUUAUUCUGCUGUCAUGCUACCUAUAACAUAAAGAGCCCUACAGCUGCAUAACCUCCUGUGAGGACUUCUCUAGUUUGCCAGGGUGAAUUGGGCAAAUUGGAGAUGGCGCUCAUUCACAGAAAUCUAACACUCGAUAAGUCAUCAUCUUUUUGAUCACUCCCUUCUCACAGGUCUGUGUCUUAACUGUGCACAUCAAAUAUUAUAUAUCUUAGAUUUAAUAAACAAUUUGCUCAGCAAAUGUACAGUGCCGCGUAGCUAUUAUGAGCGCUAAGAACGAUCAUCCCCUGCUAUGUUCAAUCUCUUUCUCGAGGUCCAGCCAAGACUCUAGCAUGGCAGGCUGCUUCCUGGGGCUGGGUAGUCGAGAAGGGCAGACAGUUGGGUGACCUAGUGAAGAAGCUCAGCAGAAUGACAGUGAAAUGCCACCGCACACGUACUGGGAUGGCUACUAUUAGGAAAACACACACACAGAAAAUAACAGAUGUGGGCAAGCAAGUGGAGAGACUGGAACCCUUGUGCACUGUUGAUGGGAAUGUAAGAUGGUGCAGCUAUUACCGAAAACAAUAUGGUAGAGCUUCUAAAGAUUAAAAAUAGGAUCACCAUAUGAUACACCAGAACUGAAAGAAUUGAAAACAAGAUCUUGAAGAGAUAUGUAUAUACCGAUAUUCAUAGCAGCAUCAUUUACAUUAGCCAAAAGGCACAAGCAAAUCAAGUUUUUACUGAUGCAUGAACGAAAAAGCAAAAUGUGGUAUCCAUGUGUUGGAAACGGGUGUAUAAUGUUGGGAAGAAUCCACACUGAGACCAUGGAUCCCUCAGCAAGCCUAGUUCGCUUCCUGCAGGAAGGGUGCAACUCGCCGGCAGUCCUGCCACAAGGGGACCCCUUGAACAAAGGAGACAGGGACAUUGAGAACCUUCAUAACCUGACUCAAUCACCCUAUGCGGUGUCCAGUUUCCACCGGCCAAAACGGGACCUCACAUUAUAUGUUUGACCCAAUUGGCUAAAAUCUUGGACAUGUUCUGAAUAGAUAAGGGGGAAAGAAGACAAGGAGGAAGAGGAAGCUGCUCAGAAGAAGGCCAGGAAGCUUCCAAAUGAGGAAUGGCAGGCACCAGGGUUUGGAGUUUGCCCAGUUCCAUUCAGACAAGCCGGAGUGAGUCAAGAUAGCUCAUUUAAAAGUAGCUGAUUUAGAGAAUAUAUGUAUGUGUGUAUAUAUAUAUACACAUACACCCAUGUGUACAUAUAUAUAUAUGGGUGUAUGUUUAUGCUAACAGCAAGAUGGCCAUAGAGCAAUAGAUUGUAACUCCUUCUAAUGUAGUUAAGAUAUAAACUUUGAAGAAGAGCUUUUCCAUCUCACACAUACAAUGGAAUGUAAUUCUGCUGCAAGAAGGAAUGAAAUGCUGACAUCUGUGAUACCAUGACUGGACCUUGAUGACAUUAUGCCAAGUGGAAGUAGGCAGACAUAAAAGGCUACAUCGUGUAUGAUUCCACUAGCAUGAAGCACUUAGAGCAUUCAAAUUCAUAAAGACACAAAGUAGAAUGGAGGUUUCCAGGCACCUGGGGACAAAGGGGAGAAGAGAGUUAUUGUUUCAUGGUUACACAGAGUUUUGGGAAGACGAAAACGUUUUAGAGAUAUGUUGGUGAUGGUUGCACGGCAAUGUGAGUGUACUUAAUGCUACUAAACUCUACACUUAAAAUGUUAUAUUUUCUGUUACGUGUAUUUCAUCACAAUUAGAAAAAUGUUUUUAAAGCUAAAAAAAAAAAAAUUCUAGCAAGGGAAGAACCCACAAGUAGCACAAACCCAAGUCCUUGGAGGAUGCUAGACAGUGUGACUGAGAAAGUCACGUUCACAUACCAGGCCAGGGAGCAUGGCCUGGGGCCCAGCACUGAGGUCAGGAUAGAACAGAUGAUUGAAGGGAUGAGCUGAAGGACACUGUUCACUGACUUUAGUGCAGUGCAGGGGUGGGUCGGACUCGAGGACGCUAAAUCAGGGCAGAUAAGGGUUUCCCUUCUUCUCUUCUCCUUCUCUUCAAGAAUAUUCAGUGGAGAUUUUAAACAGCCUAGAAUUCUCCAGUAAAGUAGUCUAGGAAAUAAAGCUAUAGAUUCCACCUUCUAAGCCCAUUGAAUUCUUCCCCAUCAUAAGCAGAGCCAGGCACAAGUGAGCAUAAAACUCCUCAUGUUAGUGAGAAGCUAUUGAUGAUGGCUGGGACAUUUGGCAAAACCAGCAUUUCUCGCUCCGUAAUGCCAGCGUUGGGAGCUUUCAAAACCAGAAGACCCAGCUGUUGUAUAUAGCUGAGAAGAGGUGGGGUUAGGGCAGGAGCCCCAGUAGCAAGUUAAAGUUAUACAUCUAAGCAGGAAGUCAGAGCCAGGGAUGUUCCCAGGAGUGUUAUUAGGUCUCCAGGAAGGAGCCACGGGUCGUGGGUCCAAGGAAGAGCCAGAGGGAGCAGAGUUUUAGAGAAGCCUGACUUCGGGUGCUGCUGUGUUUCAUGCUCUAUCUUUUCUCUCCUGUACCUUACCUUGGUUCUUUGAAGCCUUUCUGGGUUUAUGGGAAUGUCUCCAGUUUGAAGAAAUGCUGGCCCCACUUUCCACACUCAUUCUUGGGAGAGAAGAAAGAGAAUCAACCCAAUAAAGAGAGAAUGACCUAAGAGACAUCUCAAAAAACCAGAGACCAAAAGAGGAGAUUCCCCCAAAAAAACACUCUGGGAAAGCAGGAAUGCUCAACACCUCUGCCCUUCCAUGGAAAGUUCCACUCUCUGAACAUGCUGGUCACUGGUUUGCUUUCUUCUCAGGGGUGACACAAGGUAUGCAGAAAUCCUUGAGGUCUCCUGGAGGGCGGAAUGAACCAUCAACAGCAGGUAGUCAGAGCCCAGGCUUACUGUCUGGAAUUAAGCAUCUAGAAAGAUGAGGAUGACAGUGGGAGGGAAAGAACAGAUAGGACCUCACUUAUAGAGAACCUAGAAAGACAUGGAGAAAUGGAAGCAAGCCAAGGACUGGGGCACGAGCGAAGACAGGUUAGAGGCCCGUUUGCCAGAACCAAUUUAUCACAUUAAUAUGGAUCAGCCAAAACACUGACAAUGCUGUGUCCUUUUGGAGCAAUUAAAGAAAUUCCUAACUGACUCUGACUCAGGAGCAUCUGAAAACGGCCUGGGAAGGGCAUCGUUAACAACUAAAGAAUAUCUACCGUAGGUUGAAUGCCAUUCAUGGGCUAGGCAGCUUUCAUUGACUAUCCUGCUUACUCUGCGCAGUAAGGAAGGUGUGACCAGUCUCAUCUUACAGACGAGGAAAGUGAGGUUCAGAGAAAUAAAAUCACUCAGUAGCAAACAGCGGGAGCAGAGUGCAGGGAAUUGCAUCAUGAUUGUCCAUGCUUUCCCUUAUGCUUGUAAACGUUUAUGUUCUGAACCUUAUUGCCUCAAGUUAGGUUGUCUUCAUCAACACCAGCCACCCACGGGAAAAGUUAAAAUCCUACAUUGCACAUGUGCUUUGGGAGCCGUAUAAAUGUGUCCAGGUUUUUCUUGCAGCUGCCUCUCCCUCCUCUUCUCUGGGAGACUGUGGAGGUGUCUAUGACUGAUAGAUGCCACGCUCUGAACUGUCAAGUUGACUGUGGAUGUCUUGUAAUUCUCUCUGGAAAAAAAAAAAAGGUUGUUUCCUAAUACAGCAAUCACUUAUCCCUCGGAGCCUUUGAGAAGCAAAAUCGUGCUCUUCAGUUGGAUCUACAAGUUCCAUUCACUCCCAAAGGACCUGCAAACGUAGCUGUCAAAAGACUGUAGUCAAAAAUAUAUUUUUCUGACAAAAUUAGUGAGAAAAGUCUCUUGUAAGAAUUACCACUAAACAAUUGAGUUUAAAAGUCUGAUUCUUGUGUCUUAAUACUGGGUGUGAGAGGCAUACACGUUCCUAAAUUUGUUGAGACAGUAUUUGACAAAGGUUUAUAAUAAUAUUCAAGUAGUGACCUCCAUGGGCAGGAAAAGGGGCUGGAAGUAUCCUCUCUAGAAAUAGUCAUGAGUGGGCUGGACAGUCAUUGGAUGGAGACUGGGAGAGGUGGGUGGGCCUGAUGUCAACACCUACCUGCAUGCACACAACACUUGCCUGUGAUGAUUCACAAACUGAGACCCUCAGAGUGAAGCCCAAGGAUCUCUAUUUUUAAAUAAGCACCUCAAGUUAUAUUCAUGUUGCUAUGCAAGCUCCAGUUCUCUGAGAAUCACUGCCCUAGAUCAUUGUACUCCAAACUUCCCUGAAAAUAAUAAUCAUCUGGCAUCACUGUUAAAUGUACACUACACCAGGCCGCUCUCACAGACUUUGUGAUGACUCGUGCAGGGUCCACGAAUCCGCGGAGUUUGGGAACAACUGAACUAAAACAUUAGCAGAAUCCUUUGUGUCACUAAGGUUUUGUCGCUUACAUGAAAGUUUCCAUUUAAUUUUAGUUCUGCUUACAUACCGUGAGAGUAAAAACAGGUAACUUUGAAACAAUAUGGAUGUCGUAGUCUGUUUUCUGCUGCUAUAGCAGAACACAUCAGACUGGGUAAUGUAUAAAGAAAAGAGAUUAUUUGUCUCACUGUUCUGGAGGCUGGGAAGUGCCAAAGUGCGGUGCUGGCACCCAGUGAGGAUCUCUGUGUGUUAUCCCAUGCUGGAACGGUGAAAGCAUGAGAUACAGAGAAGAAAAAGGGGCAGAACUGAUAACUCGCCCACUUCUACAAUAAUGACAUUAGGCGUUAAUCCAUUCACAAGGGAGGAGCCUCAAGACCUAAUCACCUUUUUU